rnacentral:rRNA from 1 species
UGGAUCCAGACUUUGAUUAUGGCUCAGGAUGAACGCUAGCUACAGGCUUAACACAUGCAAGUCGAGGGGAUACGAUAUUGGAAGCUUGCUUCCGAUAGGCGUCGACCGGCGCACGGGUGAGUAACGCGUAUCCAACCUGCCCACCACUUGGGGAUAACCUUGCGAAAGUAAGACUAAUACCCAAUGACGUCUCUAGAAGACAUCUGAAAGAGAUUAAAGAUUUAUCGGUGAUGGAUGGGGAUGCGUCUGAUUAGCUUGUUGGCGGGGUAACGGCCCACCAAGGCGACGAUCAGUAGGGGUUCUGAGAGGAAGGUCCCCCACAUUGGAACUGAGACACGGUCCAAACUCCUACGGGAGGCAGCAGUGAGGAAUAUUGGUCAAUGGACGAGAGUCUGAACCAGCCAAGUAGCGUGCAGGAAGACGGCCCUAUGGGUUGUAAACUGCUUUUAUAAGGGAAUAAAGUUAGUCUCGUGAGACUUUUUGCAUGUACCUUAUGAAUAAGGACCGGCUAAUUCCGUGCCAGCAGCCGCGGUAAUACGGAAGGUCCGGGCGUUAUCCGGAUUUAUUGGGUUUAAAGGGAGCGUAGGCCGGAGAUUAAGCGUGUUGUGAAAUGUAGAUGCUCAACAUCUGAACUGCAGCGCGAACUGGUUUCCUUGAGUACGCACAAAGUGGGCGGAAUUCGUGGUGUAGCGGUGAAAUGCUUAGAUAUCACGAAGAACUCCGAUUGCGAAGGCAGCUCACUGGAGCGCAACUGACGCUGAAGCUCGAAAGUGCGGGUAUCGAACAGGAUUAGAUACCCUGGUAGUCCGCACGGUAAACGAUGGAUGCCCGCUGUUGGUCUGAAUAGGUCAGCGGCCAAGCGAAAGCAUUAAGCAUCCCACCUGGGGAGUACGCCGGCAACGGUGCAACUCAAAUGAAUUGACGGA